AAAAUAAUUGAAAUUACAGGUUCUUUGCAUGCUGGAGGAAAAUUGUUUAAGCAUGUGACUUUAUUAGCUCCCUUCUUACUGUCACCACAUGUACUCUCUCUAUAACUUAUUUGAGGAGCAAACAGUUUUAUAAUGUUCUGGGCUUUCUUUUCAUUAUUAUCUAUUUAAUUCCUAUUAACAAAUGCAUUUUGUAGUGAAUUUGUAGCUUCUGUUAAAUUGGAAU
rnacentral:misc_RNA from 1 species